ACGUGGAAAGAAAUAUUCUAAAAAGUUCGAAAUGAUGAAUGAUAUUUUAGAUAAAUAUUUAAGUAUAUAUGGAAAUAUAUGUAUUUUGAUAUGAUAAAAGGUUUGUUGUGUAUUACUGCAUUAUCGUAUGAAGAAUUUUUUGUCUUCACUACGAUGAUUAGAAAAAUAUGUAACACGUAUCCAACAUAAUUAAACAAUUGGAAGCUUAUAAAAUAAUAUAAAAAUAAAUAAGAAGUGAUACAGAUAGAAACAACAUAUAUAAAUACUGCUAUCUUUUAAAAUACUUGCAGUACAAAAAUAUGCUGAAACACGAUAUAAUAAAAAAUACUUUACUCUUCGAUACAAAGGUAAAAAUAAAAGAAUGUAAUUUUGCGUUUAUGUACAUCACUUUUCACAGCUCAUUGUCCUUUUAUUUACACCAUCAAUCGUUUCUUUCACCCAAGCACCAAUUAUUCACAAUUAUUGUUACGAUAUUUAGGAAUAUCAAUGGAACUGCAACAAACAACAUUUCGUGCCACCGUUCGUAUGGACCUAAUAAGGUUCAAAAUUUGUGACUUUACUGUAGGAGGUUCUCCGAAGCCUUGAACAUUUUGCCACGACGCCCAACCAACUGUAACAAUGUUUAAACAAAAAUUAAGUAAUAUAUUCCAAUAUACAAGUAAAAACAUAUACAUAUGAUUUAUAUAUUUAUCAUACUACGCGAUAUAUGUAAAUACAAUAUAUAACAUAACCUACAAAUUCUUCAUUUCUAUGCAGGGGAAAAGUUCAGUAUAAAAGAAUAAUACAAACAAAAAUAUAAUGAUAUUGUGUACCUUUUGCAAGAAAUCUUUCUUCGUUUAAAACGCAGAUCGCAUUCAAACACAACAUAGUAGCUUCAAAAAGUGUCCAAAGUGUAAACGCCACAUUAUAUCGAUAUGAUGAAUGAUAACAUUGAGAAUAUCACGCAGCGCCACUAGCGUAAGGAAAGGUAAAACAGCUUCAACGCAUCAAACAAUCAAUUUGUAUUGAUUAGGAACCGUCCUGCCAUCUUCCGUGUUCAGCUGGAAACUAGCAAUUAAAAAAGUGGCGUUAUGCAGGAAAUUUGAAUUAAAAUUUAUUUUUACUGUGUCAAAAUAUAUUUAGAGUAAUCUCGAGCGAUUUAAAUAUCGCUCGAGAUUCCAAAAAUAAGAUAAUCUUGGAUUUCAUCGAUAACGUUUUACAAAUGCUUGCAAAAAUAGUACUAUAUGGAAACUAAGAGCCUUAAAACGAUAUUCGAAAGAAUCGGUAGACUUUACAAGUAACUUAACAACGCGAUAAUACAACGGAUGGUUGGGAGCAUUAU
rnacentral:misc_RNA from 1 species